rnacentral:rRNA from 1 species
GACAGAGGGUGCAAACGUUGUUCGGAAUUACUGGGCGUAAAGCGUGCGCAGGCGGUUUGUUAAGUCUGAUGUGAAAGCCCCGGGCUCAACCUGGGAACUGCAUUGGAAACUGGCAAGCUCGAGUAUGGCAGAGGGGGGUGGAAUUCCGCGUGUAGCAGUGAAAUGCGUAGAUAUGCGGAGGAACACCGAUGGCGAAGGCAAUCCCCUGGGCCUGCACUGACGCUCAUGCACGAAAGCGUGGGGAGCAAACAGG